UACGGGGGGAGCAAACGUUGUUCGGAAUCACUGGGCGUAAAGGGCGUGUAGGCGGCUGGAUAAGUGGGAUGUUAAAUCCCCCGGCUCAACCGGGGACCUGCAUCUCAUACUGUUCAGCUCGAGCACAUCAGAGGAGACUGGAAUUCCCGGUGUAGCGGUGAAAUGCGUAGAUAUCAGGAGGAACACCGAUGGCGAAGGCAGGUCUCUGGGCCGAUACUGACGCUGAGGAGCGAAAGCGUGGGGAGCGAACAGG
rnacentral:rRNA from 1 species